GCCCGCCUAGCUCAAUCGGAUAGAGCGUCAGACUCUUAUCGAGCAAAUAUCGUUAGGCGGAAUCUGAAGGCUGCGAGUUCGACCCUCGCGGUGGGCU
rfam:Fomitiporia mediterranea MF3/22 unplaced genomic scaffold FOMMEscaffold_5, whole genome shotgun sequence.